GUGAGAUCAUGACCUGAGCUGAAGUUGGACGCUUAACUGACUGAGCCACCCAGGUGCCCGUGGACUUGACCACACUGUUUAUUCACAUUCUUGAGAAGAGAGGACCUGAUCGGCACUUAGAAGUUAAUGGUCCGCGUGGAGCUGCCGUGAUGCACUUUCGGGGCACCGAUGCGCUUUCUUUUCACGAUGACUUGCUCACGUACCCACCACUGCUUGCAAGUCCUCGGAGAAGAUGGUGGCCCUGGAGACCGCAAUCCCUCCAUUUCCCGAGAACCCCAUCAAGAAGCUUUACAUAUUUUUCAUGUCAGCCCAGCUCCUGGCCACCUUUGUUUUGCAGCCUGCGUGCCUGCCUCCCCGUAACAGCUGGACACAUCACCAUUCCAUUUUUCUAUUGGUUGUGACUGAAGUAGCUUGAGGUCAAUUAUUUCCCCAGCAAUUGACAAAGAAUCUUGACGAAGAGGAAAGUGACAUUGUCCCUUAAACCACGCUGCCCCCUCCUCCCCCCGCCCUCCCGGCCGAGGGAGGGCAGACUUCCCUUUUGCGAGCAUCCCAGCAGGGCAGGGGCGGCGGGGUCUGUGGAAGUGCGUGGGUAACAUAUGGUAAGUGGAGAGAAUAUUUAUAUUCAUGGCGAAGGAGCAGAAGAUCCAAAGAAGGUCGUUCCGCAGAGACUUCAGGCAGGAGACCUGCAGACUGGAUAUUCCGUCUCUGGCC